rnacentral:rRNA from 1 species
UACGGAGGGGGCUAGCGUUGUUCGGAAUUACUGGGCGUAAAGCGCACGUAGGCGGCUUUGCAAGUCAGAGGUGAAAGCCCGGGGCUCAACCCCGGAAUUGCCUUUGAGACUGCAUCGCUAGAAUUGUGGAGAGGUAAGUGGAAUUCCGAGUGUAGAGGUGAAAUUCGUAGAUAUUCGGAAGAACACCAGUGGCGAAGGCGACUUACUGGACACAUAUUGACGCUGAGGUGCGAAAGCGUGGGAAGCAAACAGG